rnacentral:misc_RNA from 1 species
GAUGAAGAACGUAGCGAAAUGCGAUAAGUAAUGUGAAUUGCAGAAUUCAGUGAAUCAUCGAAUCUUUGAACGCACAUUGCGCCCUCUGGUAUUCCGGGGGGCAUGCCUGUUCGAGCGUCAUUAUAACCACUCAAGCUCUCGCUUGGUAUUGGGGCUCGCGGUUCCGCGGCCCCUAAAAUCAGUGGCGGUGCCUGUCGGCUCUACGCGUAGUAAUACUCCUCGCGAUUGAGUCCGGUAGGUCUACUUGCCAGCAACCCCCAAUUUUUACAGGUUGACCUCGGAUCAGGUAGGGAUACCCGCUGAACUUAAGCAUAUCAUAAGCGGAGGA